rnacentral:rRNA from 1 species
UGAGUACGAGCUGCUACGGCAGCGAAGUGGGUGACGUCAAGCUUCCAAGAAAAGCCCUAUACCCGUUAAGGCAUGAUGGCCUGUACCCGAAACCGACACAGGUGGGGUGGUAGAGAAUACCGAGGGGCGCGAGAUAACUCUCUCUAAGGAACUCGGCAAAAUGGCCCCGUAACUUCGGGAGAAGGGGUGCCACCGCAAGGUGGUCGCAGUGAAGAGGCCCAGGCGACUGUUUACCAAAAACACGGGUCUCCGCUAAGUCGCAAGACGAUGUAUGGGGGCUGACGCCUGCCCAGUGCCGGAAGGUUAAGGAAGCUGGUCAGCGUAAGCGAAGCUAGCGACUGAAGCCCCGGUGAACGGCGGCCGUAACGAUAACGGUCCUAAGGUAGCGAAAUUCCUUGUCGGGUAAGUUCCGACCCGCACGAAAGGCGUAACGAUCUGGGCGCUGUCUCGGAGAGAGGCUCGGCGAAAUAGAAUUGUCUGUGAAGAUGCGGACUACGUGCACCCGGACAGAAAGACCCUAUGAAGCUUUACUGUAGCUUGGUAUUGUGCUCGGGCUCGGAAUGCGCAGGAUAGGUGGGAGGCUAUGAACCAUUGCUUGUGGGUGAUGGUGAGCCACUGGUGAGAUACCACUCUUUCCGAGCUAGAGUUCUAACAGCCACCCGUUAUCCGGGGGCUGGACAGUAUCAGGUGGGCAGUUUGACUGGGGCGGUCGCCUCCUAAAAGGUAACGGAGGCGCGCAAAGGUUUGCUCAGGCUGGUUGGAAAUCAGCCGACGAGUGUAAAAGCAGAAGCAAGCUUGACUGUGAGACCUACAAGUCGAACAGGGAGGAAACUCGGCUUUAGUGAUCCGACGGUUCUGCGUGGAAGGGCCGUCGCUCAACGGAUAAAAGUUACUCUAGGAUAACAGGCUGAUCUCCCCCAAGAGUUCACAUCGACGGGGAGGUUUGGCACCUCGAUGUCGGCUCAUCGCAACCUGGGGCUGAAGUCGGUCCCAAGGGUUGGGCUGUUCGCCCAUUAAAGCGGUACGCGAGCUGGGUUCAGAACGUCGUGAGACAGUUCGGUCCAUAUCCGGUGCAUGCGCAGGAAUAUUGAGAGGAUUUCUCCCUAGUACGAGAGGACCGGGAGGAACGCACCUCUGGUGUACCAGUUAUCGUGCCAACGGUAAACGCUGGGUAGCCAUGUGCGGAGAGGAUAACCGCUGAAAGCACCUAAGUGGGAAGCCCACCUCAAGAUGAGUAUUCCCAUGGGGUAACCCAGUAAGGUCACGGGAAGAACACCCGUUGAUAGGCUCUACGUGGAAGCGCAGUAAUGUGUGAAGCGGAGGAGUACUAAUAGACCGAGGGCUUGAC